rnacentral:tRNA from 1 species
AUUGCCGCGUGGCGCGUGUGGAAGCGCGACGGUUCGAGUUCGGCGAUCGUCUUGUGGGUGGUGCAGUUGCUGUUCAACGCCGCGUGGAUGUG